GAAAUGUGAACUUUUGCUUCCUGUACAUUGAUUUAGAUAAGUCUUUCAGGCUUCACACCUAGUUUGGUUUUUGAAGUUAAAAGUAUACAUAAUUUUUUUAUUUCUUGGACGAAAAAUUCAAAAGGACACAGUACAUGUCAAUUACAGCUAAACUACGUCCAGAAAGAUUUACCUUCUAUGUUCACUUUGGAAGAUAAAGAUUUAAAAGGUAAGUUCGAAACAUCUUUUCCUCACUUUUAAAACAUAAAUUUAUCCCCUCUUGUUUACAUCAUUACCAACGAAUUACAAAAUUUCCUCUUACAUCUCUUUUCCUUUUUUCUUUUUGAAGUAAUGAGUUUGUUUGAGUGAAAUUGAAACGUCAAAUGCAUGGGAUAACUAGAAAUCGUCAAAGUGAGAAAAAUGAAGAAAACUUUGGUAGAGACAAGAGGAGAUUGAGAAUGAGUGUCAUCGGCGAGCGGAGAGCAAAAGAGCGUGUGAGUGAGGGAGAGGAGAUUGAAAGAAAGAAACCAAAUAGAUACAAAUUUGACUAGAAUUGUCCAUCAAACCAUAAAAAGUUUAAUGGGUAAUACUUCUUUUCUUAGAGGUCAAAUAUUUGAUUAGUCAAUCCUCUAAAAAUUUCUAGGAUAUUUACUUGAUUUUUCAAGUUUCGAAACGAGUCAAUUAGUUCAUUAAACUUUAGUCUUCUCAUUAUUUUACUUGUCAUAUUUGGCUUAAUCUAAAAGGUUUAAAUACAUUAUUAUAUUUCUAAUCUAAAAUACAUAUUUGUUGUAUUUCAGUAUAAUUUCGAAACAUUCACUUUUGAUCUUUUACAACAAAAAUAAACAACUCUCACAAUUCAUGGAACAUGUACUUUUAUUUAUUUGUUUAUUUUUAAAGUUUUAAAACAAAAAUAAAAAUAAAUACACACAUCUUUAACAAGUUUGAAUGAAAAAGUAAAAAAGUCACGAUUAAGUACAGUCUUGUAGUCAUCUUUUAUUACUUAGAAAAAAAUUAUAAUUUAAUAUAUUUAGAAUGAAAUAUUUGUCAAUUCAACUAAGUAAAAUAGGUGCAACCAAAUCGAUCACAUAGGUAAUUUUCAAUAUAAAAUUAUUACAAAUUUUCGUUAACUCGCAGCCACUUUAGAUGUUUUAAAAGUUGCAAUUUGAAGUAUGUUGACAAAUGUUAUAGAUAGAUGAUAGUUUCAACUUUCAAGGAUUGUUUAACACCUCAACUAUUUUCGGAAGACAACUUUAUAAUCCUACCGCGUGUUUGGAUGAUUAAGAAAAUAACAAAUUCUACAUAUGUGAAUAAGUGACCGUCCAAAUAAACAUAACUCAACCAAAAUAACAUACACUUCACUACUCCACUAGAGUGACCACCAACCUUAACCAUUUAAUCAACUUUACAUACAAAAUGUGAUCAAAAGGUUGUGUGUAGCCCAAGCUAAAGAAAAUAAAUGAAAAUUGUCAUUAUUCUAAUUUGAUGCUAUAGUUAGGAUCUAACCUUGUCAAAAUGAGCUAAACUGAAAAAUAAUGUCUCAGAGUUAAGGUCAAAAGUUGGUGUUGCUAAAUUUAGCCACUAUAAGUAAUCAAAUGCAUAAAAGGUAUACAUUUUCAAUUGUAAAAGUUAGGAAACAAAACAAAAUCGAAUAAUAUAAAAACCAAACCAAUCCAAUAGCUUGGUUUCUUUAGUAUUAAAUUGAACUUCAUAGUUUGUAUUUUGAGAAAAUAGAGAAGUAAUGGCUCAAUUUGGAUUUUUGUAGGAAAAAUAAAUGAAAACUAAACGGAAUCAAAUGGUAUAUAUACCCCUAAAAAUACGUUCUUAUUUGUUUGGUUUUUUCUAGUGUAAAUAGUUUUUUUUUUUUUUUCUAUUUUUGAAAAAGCUCCAAAUAAAAUGAUCAAAUAAGAAUUAUAAAGUAUUGGACCAAAGUUUAAUUUUAAGUUAGCAAAAGUGGCCAUUCAAACAAAGUGUGAAAAGUAAGAAUAAAAGUUCAGAAGAAAAAACAAUUGUUGAAAAUCAAACAACAAACUGAUAAUGAACCAAUCCAUAUAAAACCAAUUCAUUGAUUUCGUCCUUCAUUGGAUAUUAGUUUGAAUAUCUUACGUAUAAAAUCAAGGUCAAAACAUUAAAAGCAAUUCCAAACAUUAAGAUAAAAACGCUUACAAAAAUACAUUUGUGUUUGUAAACUAACUAAAUCUAUAAAUCAAAAUCCAAAAUUUGCUUUCAAAUCCUUAAGAACAUGACCCUAAACUAUGAAUAAACUCAAAAGUCCCUCCAAGAAAAAGAACAGAAAAGCUUUAUAGUUGAAAUGCAUCAAUUACAAACUCAAACAAAAAUGAUCAAAUUGGUUAUGGGAAAAAAAUCAACUCACAAAAAGAAGAGUGAAACAGUUGUUAAAGUUAAAUAAAUAGGUAGGAAUGAAUAAAAAAAAAUAAAAAAAAAGAAUUGAUUAGAUAGUGUAAAAAUAAUGAAUAAAAGUUGUCAAAGAGCAAAAUUAUGCACAUCAACUACUUUUCAAAAGUCAACAAUUAUUCAUCAAUCACUCCUUUAAUAAUUCUAACACCAACCUGUUGCACACUCACAACAUUAACAUACCCACCACAAUAUCACACAUAUUAAAUUAAUGCAACAUUUUCUCUUUUUUUUUUUUUUUAUGUGUAUGUAUGAAUAUAUAUAUAUAUAUAUAUAUAUAUACACAUUAAAACAGUCAGAUCAAGAAUGUGAUGCUAUGGCAAGAAAAUAGAGAAUUCAUAGUAGUUAUUUAAUUCAAACUUAACUAAAAUAUUGAUGGAACGCUCACAUCAACAAUAUCAACCUCUAAUAUUGUCAAUAUUUCUCACUUUGGCCCUUGCAAUUUAUGGAUAUUUUAACCCCAGAAAAUAUCUAUAUUAAAAAUGUCAAUGAAAAUCUUACUAAAUUGUAGGGGUCCCUCCCAUGGACUCCAAUCUAAUAAUCUAAGCUUUGUGAAAGUGAUGGGGGAGGGGGCACAAUUAGAGAAAUUAAUAGUAGUAGAGAAUUAAGAAGUGAAUGGGGAAAGAAGCAAUGUAAAUAUGAAUGCACUAUAAAGCUUCCAAGCCAAUAAUAAAAAUAUCAUUUUGCAUAGCUAAGUUUAUGACCUCAAGGAGCAAACUGACUAAUAUUUGUCUUACAAUAACUAUUAACAUUAAUGUUUUCAAAAAAAAAAUAGAGAGAGAGAACUUGGAAUAGGGAAUAGGAAAUAGGAAAUAGGAAAUAGGAGAGAUAAGAGAGAAGGAUAAAGGGGAAAAAAGGGAAAAAAACAUCACAAUCAUCUCCUACUAAAGAAAAAGACAUGGUUGCAGCACAGAUUUGGCAAAGGUAGGCAAGGCAAGGGAAAGAUUUUGGAAGGAAAGUUGUUUUUGCCCACCAACAACAUAAACAUCCAGAGGGAUCAAUUACUUCUUAACCCGUAAAUACGCAGUAGUAUUACGAAUCUCAAACUCAUAGGGGUGUAUGGGGGGGAAAGCAAUGGGCAUACGAAUGAAUGACCUCAGAAAUAUACCCUCCUUCCAUGACCCGUAUCUGAGCUCAACCGAAAGAGUUCACAUUACACAUGACACAAAAAAAGCCAACUAAAGGAAAUAACUCACCAUUCAAAGCCACAUAUUGAACUUAGAAGCACUUCCUGUGGACGAUGGAUGGGCCAGAUUCGUCGUACUCACCCUUUGAGAUCCACAUCUGGUAAAACAAAGAGGUAUUAGUGCGAGAAAUGAGAACAAAAGAGAGGUUACGUGGUAAAUGUGGGGAGUAUCUCUCACCUGCUGGAAGGUACUGAGCGAUGCAAGGAUGGAUCCUCCAAUCCAGACACUGUAUUUCCUUUCUGGUGGUGCAACGACCUUGAUUUUCAUGCUGCUGGGAGCAAGAGCUGUGAUCUCUUUGCUCAUACGGUCAGCGAUACCAGGGAACAUGGUAGAACCACCACUGAGAACAAUGUUGCCAUACAAAUCUUUUCUGAUAUCCACAUCACACUUCAUGAUUGAGUUGUAGGUAGUCUCGUGGAUUCCAGCAGCUUCCAUUCCAAUGAGGGAUGGCUGGAAAAGAACUUCGGGGCAACGGAAUCUCUCAGCUCCAAUUGUGAUGACUUGUCCAUCGGGCAGUUCAUAGUUCUUCUCAAUUGAGGAGCUACUCUUAGCAGUCUCAAGUUCCUGCUCAUAGUCGAGUGCAACAUAAGCAAGCUUCUCUUUCAUGUCACGGACAAUUUCCCGUUCGGCAGUGGUUGUGAACAUGUAACCUCUCUCAGUGAGAAUCUUCAUCAAAGCAUCAGUUAGAUCACGACCAGCAAGGUCGAGACGGAGGAUAGCAUGGGGAAGAGCAUAACCCUCGUAGAUUGGCACAGUAUGACUAACACCAUCACCAGAGUCAAGCACGAUACCUAUUCAAAUAAUUCAUUAAAUAUUCAUCCGAAUCAAAGCCUAAUAGUCCCAAAAUUUAAGAUGGAAGGAGGAAAUCAGUGUGAACCUGUUGUACGACCACUGGCAUACAGUGAUAGAACGGCCUGAAUGGCAACAUACAUGGCAGGUACAUUAAAAGUUUCAAACAUGAUUUGUGUCAUCUUUUCUCUGUUGGCUUUAGGAUUGAGAGGAGCUUCAGUGAGAAGAACUGGGUGUUCUUCAGGUGCAACACGAAGCUCAUUGUAGAAUGUGUGAUGCCAAAUCUUUUCCAUAUCAUCCCAGUUGCUGACAAUACCAUGCUCAAUGGGAUAUUUCAAGGUAAGAAUACCUCUUUUGGAUUGGGCCUCGUCACCAACAUAAGCAUCUUUCUGGCCCAUACCCACCAUGACACCAGUGUGUCGAGGUCGGCCAACAAUACUUGGAAACACUGCCCUGGGAGCAUCAUCACCGGCAAAUCCAGCCUACAAAUUAAGUUUUUCAAUACUUCAGAGUUCAAACCUAUCAGGUAUUACCAGCCUCAAGGCAAAAGAAAACCCACCUAUACAGUACUUAUAAUUAUUGAGCACAUGAGUAGAUCUACAACAAGAAAAAGAAACAGCUACAUGUUUUAAGAACAGUGAAUGUACCUUCACCAUUCCGGUUCCAUUGUCGCAGACAAGUGGCUGGAUAUCCUCAGCAUCAGCCAUCGUUUAUAGAUACUGAAAAGCACACACAAAUAAACAUAUUAUAACCUAGGAUAAAAAGGACAUCUGUGCAAUGCAUUGUUGAAAUUUAUAGUAAGAAGUAAGCAUACAACAGACAAUCCACUUUGUAAUACAAGGCCCAGAGUAGAAAUCAUAAACAUCACAACAUAACAACACUUGCCAAACAAUCACACUAAGAGACUCGAAUUUUACAGGAAGAAACGGAUCAGCUCCAAAAAAUAGAUUGAUGCUUGGCAAAGACGAUUAGCUAAAACCUAGAACAUACAUUACAAUAAAAAAUAAAUAAAUACAGGAAAACGACAGGCCAAAAAGAUGCUCAGGGGAGAAAUGUAAGCAACACGAUUGUAAUCAAAGAAUCCUAUUCGUUACGAUCCUCAGCCAUCAAAGUUUCAACAUCUGUUUUCAACAGAGCAAUGCAAGUAGCUAAGAUCUUUAAUCGAAUUCCUUCACUAAUUCAAUCAUGCAGAACAAAGUAAGUAAAACAAAAAAAUUGCAAUCGCAUCUAGAAAAUCAAAAGAAAUUUCCAACAAAUACAAGAUCUCAGCUCAAAUACCACAGAAUUACAAUAAAAACACGCAAAAGAUCAAAGAUCCGCCACCUAAAUUCCAGAAUCUAAUUGCAAAUGCCGAUCGAAAUGUCACCAAAUCCUCACAAACCAAACAGAUUCCAGAAAAGAUUAAUAAUAAUAACAAUCAAAAUCAUAAUCAUAAUAAUCAUCAUCAUCAUCUCUUAUCUCUCACUGCAGCAAACAGUAUUAGGAUUUACAAAUCACGCGAUUCACAUUACAAACCUCAAAACAAAAACAAGAAGCGUUUAAAAAAGAGAAUCAAAGAGGUAGAAGGCAAACAAAAACAUAAGAUGAUCAAGGAAAAUCAAAAGAGAGAUUGAUUUUUAAAAACAGGAAAGAAAAGAAGCAGAUCGAAGGUGAUAAUAGUAGAAAAGGGAAUGGAAAUGUGAACGAAGGAGAGAGUAAGAGAUCUAAAGAAAGAAAAGCAGAUCGAGAGAAGGAAAGGUACCUUGAGGAAGAAAAGGAAAUGGAAAUGGAAGAGGGAAGUGAAGGAAUGGAGGGGCAACUCUCCGUUUUCAAGCUCAGUCUGUCUCGGUUGCGAAGGCGAGAAGGUGAGAUGGGAAAAUGGAGAGAAGGAAGGAAUGGAAGAGGGAAGGGAAGGGAAAAUGAGAGUAUUUAUAUGAAGAAAGAAAAAAUUGGAAAUGGAAAUGGAAAUGUAAAUGUAAAUGAAAUGGGAAUGAAAUGAAAUGAAUGAAAUUUGGAGUGAAUGAUUUCGAGCACCAGUAGUAAAGAUAGGGUGACCUGGAUGACAGCCUUUUUCUUCCCUUUCUUUUUUUUUUCUUUUUUUUCUAAUUUUAAUUCAUUUCCUUCCCAUUAUUUCAUUUUUCAUUUCCCACACUAUUUCCUCUCUCUCUCUUUUUUUUUUUUUACUUCAAUUUCUUUUUCUUCUUAAUAAAUAAGAUUUUUAGAUCAACCCCUAAUUAAUAAAUAUAAACCUCAUCAAUUAAACUCACAUCUACCAAAUCCUAAUCAAAAUUUGUUUAUUUGGAAUUACUUUUCAAUUGCUUUUAUUCACAAUUGUGAAUUAUUCACAUUUUACUCUUAUCCAUAUUGUUUACUACUCUUGUUUGUCUUUAAAGACAAUAGUAAUGAUCUAAACUUAAUAAUAAACGUGGCUGAUUCAUAAUUUCUAUUCCGUAAAGGUAAUGGGUUUGACGUAAUUUUUCAUUCCUCGAUUAGAUUUCAUGAUUUAAUUACAAGCUUAGAAAUAGACCCAACAAUUCAUAAGGUAAGUAAACAUAAGUAAGUUAUUAACUGAGGUCUAUUUUUAUUUUGGGAAAUUGCAUUAGGUGACAAAAAAAAUUAGAAAAAAAAAAACAGCUCGUAACACCUUUUUUUUCCAUAUUGCAAAUUUGGAAAAUAUGACGAUAAUCAGACGGUAAUCUACUUUUAAAUUUAGUAUUUUUGCAAUUUUGAAAAAUGUAAGUGACAUUGACUCUAUUACCAUCAAAUUUUUUUGUUAUUUGUGCAAACUCCUCUUUUACUUUACUAUUGAUGGAUUACAUUUCACCAGGGUUAAAUGUAAUCUAAUAUCAAUUAAUCUAUUACUAGUUAAUUUUAGUUCAUUGUUACAUAUUAUAAUAGAUUAAAAAAUCACUAAAGUAAUUAUUUGUUGUAAUGCUAAAACUUGUAACGAUUGCGUAAGUUUGAAAGUUCAAUUUUUAUCAUAUAUAUUAUUUAACACUUGAUAGUUCUAACAUUCCUCUACAACUACUCAAAACACUUACAAAUAUAGCAAAAAUAUAUAUGAAAAAGGUCGUUGUAGACUAACAUAUUUAUCAUUUUGGUUAGUCUAUCGCGGUGAUAAAAAGUAAAUAUUUUAGCCUAGGUUUGAAAACCACACUUAAUUAAUAUAACAAUAUAUUACAUAAUACUAAAUUUAAUUUGUGGCCAUACUUUCUUAAUUAAUUACUCAAUUUUACCUUCUAUAUAAAAAAUAAGAACAACACACAUAUGCAUUUAAUUUUCCAUCUUAGUUUUUGGGAAAGAUCUAGUUCAACUAACAUAAAAUAUGUACUAUCAACACGAGAAUACGACACAUAUCAUUUCAAAUAUUUAAUCUAAGGCAUUAAUUAAUAUCCAUAUUCAGAUAAUAACAAAUCUUCUAAAAAAAUACAUGAAUUAAACCUAACAAAAGUGUAUGGUAACUUCGAAAUAUAAAGGAUGGAACAUAAAAUAAAGUGAUCAUAAAUACCUUCUAUUAAGAAAGUUUGUAGUCUUUAAGUGAGAAAAUUUCGUUCAUCACCCAACCUAAAAUUUAGGUGGUAUAUCAAAUGAUUUUUUUUUUCUAAAUCAUUCAAGAACACAGCAAAUCUCAUGUAAGAUUAAAUUUGAAAAAAAAUGUAAGAUAAUUUUAUUUUUAAUCAUUUUCAAAUAUAGCAUCAAAUAUUUACAAAAUACAGUAAGAUUAUAAAUUCUAUAAGACUUCUAUUAGUACACGUAGAUAGACAUCGAUAGAAUCUAAAAUUUUGCUAUACUUAUUGUAAUUUUUUUCGACAAUUUUACUGUUUUCAAUAGCUUCUCUUUCAAAAUUAUGAUUAAAUAUACAAAUGCUUCAAAUUUUAGAUUUUCACAUCUUUAAGUAAGAAUGAUGGUAUCUUCAAAUUUUACAACAAAACCACAAGUGUAAAUUUGCUUGACUAGAUAUUUAACUUGAGUAUCGAGUAUCACAAUAACUUUCACAAUUUCGGUAAUAUAUUAAUGUUUAUCAUGAAGCUUUUUUUUUUUUCGUCAUUCUUUGGAUUUCACAUUGAAAAAAUCACAAGAGAAUUAACACUCUUAAUAAGGCAGAUGUGUUAGUUGCUCUUAUUGCUAAUUAAUUUUGAGAUGAAACCUCAUGUUAUCUAAUACGGUGUAUCAAAAGACUUCACUUUUAAUAAGAUAGAUAUUAAGUUAAUCAACUCAUCGUUUAAGUUUUUCCAAGACUAUUUUAAGAAUAACAAAAAUUUCCUACUCGAAAGAACCAAUCCUCAAACUAGAACUCUUUGAACCCAACUUCAAUUCUCCAAAACCGUGAAUGGGGGCGGAGAUAGGAGUGCAUCUCGACCUGCUCAACACUAUUAUCAUCUCUAAACUAGUGAAAGUCAAAGAUUUUAAGAAAAUGACAAUAUUUCAGGUAAAAUACUAUCGAUACUGUAUUAAACAAUACCCCGUUUUCUAGAUCUCAAUAAUUAUUCUCUCUUAAAAAAUCUUUCAUGUUUAUUUAUUUUCGUACUGGAGAAGAAGAAAUAACAAUAUCGCAUUAAAAAAGUAGACUAAAUACUUUGUAGUUUGUAUAAAAAAUACUUAUAAACUUUCAAAAGUUUAAAAAGUUCUCGUAAGAAGUAAUUACAUUUUUUAACCAUUUUCAAAAUUUAACUUUUUUGUAAUUUAACCUAAAAAGUAAAUACUUGUAAAUCUAAAAAAGAAUCUAUCAUUUUUAUAGAAGAAAAAAAAAUCAAAAUAUAUGGAGUUUGAAUAACUCUAUCUUCAAUGUGAUUUUGUGUACUAUUUGAAUGUUGAAAGUGGAAAGUAGAUGGUGAACCAUUUGAGAAUAUAGUAAUAGAUGUACAAUUAGCUUUAUGUUGCAAAAAUAUAUAUGUUCAAAUCAUCGAUCUUUUUUCAGUAUGCCCAAUCGACACGAUAUAGUAAUUGUGUUUGAAUUUUGGAGGAUGUACUUACGUAUAUCGAUCAAUUUACCACUUAAUUAUACUUAUAUAUGUAAUGAACAAUCGCAAAUAAAACUUGAAAUCUAACAAAAACAGGUUUGAAUCUCUUACAUAUUUCAUUUUGUUUGCUUUAUUUGAUUCUCUUUUAAAACUUAUUCACGAAAACAAAAAAUCAAUCAGUUAUUAAACAACUUUUAUGAAGGCAAUAAAUGUUUGUUUUUUUAAAAAAACUUGGCAAGAACACCUCCAAAUACAUAAACAAAUUAUGGAAAUUUACUUUUCAAUUUUCAAAUGUUGACUUGUUCUUUUCAAAUUAUGCUCACUAAGAAUAUAAUUAUAAAAAACUAAACGAUUAUGAAACAUGCCGGACCUAAAUUUUUGUAGUUUUAAAAAUUGCUUAAUCUUUCAAAUAGUUUUUUUAUGUUUUUGAAUAUAACGAAAUGAAGGUAAGUUAUCUAAAAAAAUACAUAAUAAAAUUUUGGUAUAGUGGUAAACAUAUGAAAUGAGAGUUAAAAGUUGAUGAUGUAGUAAUUAAUGUGACACUUCAUAGACAAACAUUGGAAGUCCAAAGUUGGACAUGACAUGACAUAUAAUUAUAUAAUCUUUCUAUCUCUUUCUCUUUUAAAUAUAGCAACAUGGCAUGAUGAUCAAAAUAACACAAAAUAUAACUUUUUAAAUUUUAUUUUUCUUGAUCUCUAAAAUAGCUAAACAUUCCACAAAACAGUGAUAUAGUUGUGUGUUUUGAUAUUAGUGCAUGUGCACACAUGUGUUCUUAAAAGUCCUUAACAUCUCCUUUUGCCUAUACUAUAUAGUAUAUAUGAUUAUAUGCAUAUUAGACAUAGAAAAAUCCCAUGAAUAUAAUAAAAUGAAAGGGAUAUUAAUUAUAAUUAUCUAUCUGGUUUGGAUUCCAUUUGUCUCAAUAUUUAUGCAACACCACUUUUGCAAGAAAAAGAUUUUUAUAAUUCAAAGUUUUUAAAAGAGAAAACCUUAGUUUAUUUAUUUUAUUUUAUGAAAUUCUUAAUGAUUAUAAUGAUAUAAAGUUGGAGCCAUUUUUUUGGUAGUGGCAAAGCAUUACUUGCCUAAGAUAUGAAAACUUUCUUUUUCUUUCUAAUAUAUACACAUAUACAUGCAUACACAUUUGUGUACAUUCACAACAUUUAUAUAAAGGUGUGUUGAACAUUUCCUUAGUAGAAAAGUUAAAUUAAAAACGACGUUCUUUUUAACUUAGUAUCUUUUAGUUUUAGUUUCUUGUUUCUUUUAGUUGUCGAAUCAAGAUCAAACUUGAUCAAAACUCAUGCAUAACUAUAUGUUACCUCUUUUAACAAUAACGACCAUGACUAAGUUUUAUUUUUCAUCAAACUUAGUUAAGUGUUUUUUUUUCUUUUUUGAAUUAUUGGAGAUCAAAAUAAAUUUAGUUGAAGUAUAUCAAAAUAAGAAUAAUAUAUAUAGUGACCCAAGAGACUAUCAAAUGGGCCUUGGGAUCAAAGGGAGCCAUGGGUUGAGAUUGAAUUGUAUAGAGAAGCCAAUAUGAUGUUAUCAAGCAAACCCAAUUUGAAAUGCUACAAAGUUUUCCUUUUCAUAUACAAUUCAUAUAGCCUUCCCUACUUCAUUUCAUUUAAUUCAAUUAGUAGUGCUCUCCCCCUCAUAUCCCAUUUUUUAAAAAAGUGUCUUUCCCAUUUAUUUUUUUCUUUCUUUUUAUACAUUCUUUCUUCCUUUUUUUUUCUUUCUUUAUUAUAUAUAACUUUCUCACGUACAAAAUAACUUCCAAAGUAUAAUAAAUUAUUGUAUUGAUUAGUUGUGUUCAAAUAUAGUAAAAUAUUACGAUUUAUUUGUGUGAUAGACUACUAUAUGUUGCACAUUUUUUUUCAGUCUAGAGAGUGCCUAUAAGGCUAUCUAAAAUUUAACGAGAUUAGAUAGAAGCCCACAUGGAUAGCCUGGAGGACAAGGAUGGAAAAGAACUCGUUUUUCUUGGAUGUCGUUCUUCGAAAGGAUUUGAAAAGAAAUGCUACAAGCUCCGGCUAUAUCAAAGAAAUAUCUUGGACGACUAGAAUUAAGAAAUAACUUGACUGAAGGGUUUGAAUUAAGAGAUUAUGGCAAGAUCAUGUUCACCAAGAAAUGCCUCAAAAUUGGAUCUUGGUCUAUUUGAGAAUGUUCCUUUUCAUCUCUAUUAAAUAUAUCUUUUCUUGGCUCUCAUUUCUUUUUCAAAUAAAUCAAAGAACCUAAUGGAUCAAACUCCAUCCUUGCUUGCUAUGAAAGAUAUCGACCUUGCCUUGUAGAAGAAAGGUUAUGUUUUGUUUUGGGUUGAAAUAGGGCAAGUGCUCUUUCUUCAAUAAAGAUUUGAAACCUGUCUAGUAGACACGAACAGUGAUAUUUUGCUAUAGUUAUAAAUAUAAUUAUAGCUUCUUUUACAAUGCUUGAAAACAAUGGAUUAUUAAACAACCUUUGAAUUUUACAUUGUAUAAAAAGUCUAUACAUCAAACCUUUAAUAAGUACUACAUGUAUUGUUGAUUGUGAAAGUGAAGUGGAGAUCGAACCUUCAACUUCUAGAAAAGAAAAUUGUGUGUCGAUCGAUUACGGUAGAACCCAAAACUCAUUUUUAUUUUAUUAUUGAAAUACAUUAUUAAAAUUGUUGUUGUUUUUUUUUUUUAAAAAAAAAGAAAUGACAAUAUAUAUAUCUUUAUAUAAUGGUUUAUAUAUUAAAGUACUUUAAUGAUAUCUCCAUCAAAAUGAGAAUUUGGAUUAAAUUUAUGAACAUUUCCCAACAUAAUGAUUUGAUGAGAGAAAUGGAAGAAAUGGGUCAAAACCAAACACCAUCUUAGAACACACAUUAUAAUUUAAAUCAGUGGGUGAAACAUCACACAUGCAAUUAUCUUUUCUAUUCUAUUCUAAUCACAUUACAUUCUUUUUAUAAAUAUAUACAAAGUCAAAUAUAUUUUUUUUAUCACAUAGUAUCAAGCAUUAUCCUUCAAAUAUUAUUUUAAGUUCCACUUAUUCCAUAAAAACAAUAAUAAUGUAGGGAGAAAAUUAAAUAAAUAGGUUAUAAAAAAUAAAAUCUUAAUCUUGAAAUUAAUGUAAAAAUAGUUACAUUUUUCAAAUGUUAGUUUACCCAAAUAAAAAUGUAUUGUUUGAUUUUAUUUCGUUAUAUUUUUAAAAAUAUAUAUUAGAAUUUAGGAGUGAGAAUGAAGAUAACAAUAAUCAAACUAACAUAGAAACUAAAUUAUAAGUUUUUUGUGACUAUUUUAUAUUAAAACUUUAAUCAAUCUCCAAUCCAAUUUUUUUUAAAAAAAAUAAGAAUUAAUUUGUUGUAUUUAUAUAUAGAUUUAAAUUAUAUUUGUAAUAAACCCUAAUUUUCUUUUGAUUAUGUAUAUAGCAGUUUCAUGAAUUUUUCAAAUUUUAAAAGUUAAAGAUCCCAAUUGAAAUUGAAAACCUUUUCAUUUUUUAGUUUCUGUGUUUUUAAAAAUCUACCCUAUUUUCUUUCCAUUAUUUAUUGAAUUCUUAGCUAAAUAUUUUUUUAAAAAAAACUAUUUUCUAAUCAAACAUAAAUUUCUAAGUUUAAAAACUAUUUUCUAAUUAAACACAAGUUUGAAAGUUUCAUAUAAAAGUUAGGAGGAGAAAGAGAGAAUUAAAAGGAAGAAGAGAAAAUGAGGAAGGAAAAUUAAACAAAAAUAUAUACAAUUUCAUUAAACUUUAAAUCUCAAAGGCAAAAAAAAAAAUUAAACUCUAAAUUAAUUUCCCCUAAUUUAGUAUUAUAAUAAUCUCUAUUAAUUAUAUUACAGCCGUAAAUUCCGUACCGGAGCUUCAGGUUCCAGCGGUGCUAAGUCUACAACCACAGACGGCGGCGGAGGAGGAGACGGAGAGUGGCCGGAAGAUGAGGAGGAGGCGGAGGCGGAGGCAGAGGCAACGCCGGCGAUUUUCUCACAAGUCUGAACCAAACACUGCCGACAUUUAGGGCAAGAGGAGUGAGAACUCAACCACUUAUCAAUACACUUAACGUGAAACCCAUGGUUACAUUUCGGGAGAAGCCGGAGCUUGUCGCCGGUGGCGAACUCCGACAAGCAAAUGACGCACUCGGGGUCGAGCCCGGGGAGGUUGAGGUCCAGGGAGAAUUGAACCACGGUGAAGCUUUUGAUGGCUUUCUUAUGGACUCCAGUGGAGGUGGGGGUGAGGCGGUGACGGUGGUCAUUGGAGACGAUGAGACGGGAGCAUUUCAAAGCGCAUCGGAUGAUGGAGUUGAGGGCUAAGGAGCAGAUUAAGGCGCAGAGGAGGACGGAGAGGACCAUGACGACAUUUGUGUCGAAGGUAGUGCUGUCUCCGCCGGAGUAGAAUUCAGAUUGGUCGUGGACGGCAGAGGGAGGGGCGGCGGAGGUGGUGGUGAAGGAGAGCUUGUGGAGGGAGGAGUGAAGAAGGAGUUUUCUUGAAUAAUGAAACACUUGAUGAAGUUCAUCAUAAAGAUAGUUUGUAGAAAUAGAAGCAAUUGACAUUUUUUCUCUCUUUUUGUUUGAGGUUUGUUUUUGGUAUUUUAAAUGAUUUGAGUUUGAGAAGAUGAAGAAGUGAAGGUUGUGGGUGGAGAAGGAGAGGUAUUUAUAGAGUGAUAAAGAGGUUUAAUCUAAAGUUAUUAUUGGAUUUGCUUUAUAGCUUUUGUUUCAUAAAUCAAUUUUGAUUACUUAAAUAGCUAUCAAAUCAAACUUAAUUAACCUUGAAUACAUAUUAUUAAUCUUGAUAUAUAUUCGUAGAACACAGUAAUACUGAUAUCUAUCAAAGAUCAAGAUGGUAUGGAUAUCAAAAUUUAAAACUUUCAUUUAGACUUUAACAAGACUAAAAAAUUUCUAAGCUUGUGGCCUUCCAAUCCAAUCAUGAUUUUUUUAUUUUCAUUUGGUAUUUCUUUUUUAAUUUUGUAAUAAGUUUAUUUAAUGCUUAUUUGUAGUUUUGUACUAUAUAGUAUAUACCCUCUUAAAAAUGUAUUAAAAUUCCUUUGACUAAGUUUGUGAAAUAAAAAAACAAAAUUAUAUGCAUACAUUUUAUGAAUUAUACGAAGGUGAUUUGUUUUUUUUUUAAUUUAUCUUUAUGGUAAUUAAUAUCUAUCUAUUGGGAUAUCUCUUUUUAAGUUCACAUUUUUUUAACUUUGUAUUUUUUUAUGAUCUCGUUUGAUUUUAUCAACUGGUGUAAUUUAUGAACAAAGUUACCUCUCAAAAAUGUUAAUCACCUUCAAGAGAUUUUUUUGAUUCAAAACUUUAAAGUACUAAGAUGAUUGAAUAUUAAAUCAACCAAGUACACUAGAAACUAGAGAUGUACAUUAGCCAUUGGGUCCACAUAGAAGAAGUUACGACUAUGCAUGUAUGGUUGUCAUCUUAUCAUAAAAAAAAAAAUGCUAAUAUACUUGGUGGGAGUGUGUACAUUAAUUCUAAUUUAGUUCCUAUAAUAAAUAAGUGAGAAAAAAUAUGGACCAGUCAAAUUUAAUUUAAUUUUGAAAAAAGGUUGAGAUGAUGACUAAUUGACAAAUUGUAGUAGUAAUUUGAAUAGAUAAAAAAGAAAGAUAUUUAGUGAAUUAUGAUAUAACUAGAGAUGCAGAGAAAUGUAUUUAAUUAAGUUGAUGAUGAUUAAAAGGAAAGGGGAAUACGUGUAUUUUGAUAUUGAGUUCAUAAAUAGAGUAAUUGAGAAAGUAGAAAAGGAUAUAGAAAUGUUGAGGAGAAUGGAGCAUAUUAAUAAACAUAAGGUUAAAAAUGAAAGGGUAAUUAAUUAAGGCAUAAAUAAAGAAAAGGGAGGUGAGGUGAGGUGGAGGGUUUAAGAUAGAGUUCUAUAAUCUAUACUAUACUAUAUAGUAUAUAUGUGUAUGUGGAUCGUCCACUCAAAACUCAAAAGGGGCUUUUAAAUGGGCUUUCAAAUCAACAUGGGCCCACUCCCUCAGCCCCACUUCUUUCCUAGGGACCCACACUAAACUCCUCUUCUACGAAACUUCCUUCUUCCUAUUAAAUCUAUUUUUUUUUAUUAUUAUUAUUCAUUUUCUUUCUUUUUUUUUACACUGUAGGUAGGAAGUGAAGACUCCUUCCAUUUUUAACUUUAUUGUAUUUAUGCCUUCCUUAUUUUGUUUCAUCCAUUUUUUUCAAAAUUUUAAUACAUACCACUAUUUCAAUUAUACAUAUUUUUUUUAUUGAUUUUAAAGUAUCUUUUAAGAAAUGACAUCUGAAGAGUUUUGGAUGUUCUCCUGAAACAUGAAUUCUUGAGUUUAAGAAACAUCUUAUAUGUGUUUAUAUCGUAGUUAUUAUUAUUAUUAUCAUUUUUGUUUAUUUGUUUAGUAGUAGUAUAAGAUAUUUUGACAUUGGAAGAUUUUUGAUAACUCUAUAGUAUAUAGUAUAUAGUAUAUUAUGAGAGGGCAUCUUGUGAGUUUUAGAUACUCUAUUAAAAUCUAUAGUACAUUUUUUUCUUCAUUUAUAAUUACUAUAUAUAUUUUGUUUAUAUCGUUGUUGUUGUUAUUAUUAUUAUUAUCAUCUUAGUCAAAUAUUUAAAUUUAAAUAUAAAUUUAAGUCAAUGUUAUUUUUAGAAAAAAAAACUUAAAUUAUGAAACAUUAUUUUGUUUACAAAGUAAAAUACCAAAUUAUUGUAUCAAAAAUUGUCAAAAUAGAAGGAAAAAAAAAAGAAGAAGAUUUUGUAAUAAUAAACACUGAUAUGCUUCUACUAGUGACAUUGAUAGAUAGUGAUAGAAGUCUAUUAAUUUAUAUCAUUAAUAGAUUCCAAAAUUUUGUUAUAGUUUGUAAAUAUUUUAAUUUAUUUUACUAUUUUUAAAAAUAUCUAAAAAAAUUUGAGUGAUAUAUUUUUUUUCUAUUUUUGAAAAAAUCCGUUAAAAAAAAAAAGCUUACAUGAAAAAGACAAAAUUACAAAAAGCUAAAAGAUUGUGUGUCCUUUCAACAAUUAUAUAUAAAGAAAAAAGUCCCAUAGAUAAGGCUUCCUUUUCAAAAAGAAAAUAUAAUUUGUCUUCUUGUUUUUCAUUCAUUUUGAUUUUGAUUUCUAUUUCUUAAUCUAAGUAUAGAAUUAAAUUACAUCUUUAUUAUAGAGGUGAAUAUAUAGGGCUGCUUAUUGAUUUCAUAUCAAAGUUUUCUUGUUAUUUCAACCAAAAUUAAUUUCAAUGUAUAUCAGUCAAAUAAGCAAAGAAAAAAAGAAUUCAAUUAUGACCAAUUACAUCUAAUGUGCAAUCUAAUAAUAAUAAAGAGCAUAUAGAGCAUCAAAUAAAUGACAUUUUCUAGAUCUUCUUCCCUAAUCUUUUUAAUUAUACGUACAUAAACCCCCAUGUGUCACUUUUAUAUUGGUACGUCAUUCAAUCACCACUCACAUGUCACUAAAUGAUUUGUUCAUAUUAAUGUCUCAUUAUUAAGUUCUUUCUUAUCUAACCUAUUGAAGUUUUUGUUCAGUAACCUUUUCGUUUCUCGUUUAGGGUUUUGAAAAACCGAGUUUAUCUCCUUUUGUUUUUCUUAUAUCUACAGCACAAAUUUUUAGUCAAAUUUGAAAAUAGAAACAAGUUUUAAAAAACCGCGUUAUUUAAUUUUAGAUUUUGAUGUUUUUGAAAAUAUGGGUAAAAAGUAAAUAAAAAAACAAGAAAUUUAGCGUGUUUGUAGGUUUAAUUUUUAAAAAAUAAAUGGUUGCCGCCAAAUGAGUUAUGGUUGUGAAAAACUUUUUUUUUGUUUUUUUUUUUUAAAUUUAGCUAAGAAAUUUACGUUUUUCGUUUGAUGAUGCUAAGAUGAUGAGAGGAUUAGGUUUGAUUUUUAAAAAAUCAAAUGGUUAGUAAAUGAGACCUAACUUAUUUGUUAUAUUAUAUUUGUUUGGAAGUAAUUAUGAAAGGAUUGAAAUCACUUUUUUGAAAUUAAUAUAAUGUUUUUAUUUUUUACUUUUAAAAUACAAUUUUCAUAUUAUUGAAACUAUUAAAAACAAAAAAUAAGUAAUUUUAAUCGGCUCAUAAUUACAGUGAAAAAAAUGGUCCGAAAUAAAAUAUUUUACAAAAUAUUUAAAUAAAUGGUAACAAAUUUCAUGUUUGAGUAAUUUUUCUAUUUUUUUAAAAAAAACUUGAGAAUUAUUGUUAGUUUUGAAUUUUCAAUCGUUGCUACCUAUCUCAAAAAUAAAUAAAUGAACAAAACCUAGCCUUACUAUAUAGACCAUUUAUGGCUUAUUUAUUUCAUCACUCUUUUUAUAAAAAAAUUAUUAAAAUUAAAAUCUUAAAUAUAUUAAAAAAAAUAUUGAAGUAAUAAUAAUAAUAAGAAAAUAAUGAGUUAGGGAAAGAAAUAAUGUUGAAAUUUAAGGCUUCUUAUAUUGUAUAUAGGUAGAGUUUCCAUUUUCUUUUCUUUGUAAUUAAUAAUGGCUCUUAGAGUUGGUUUGAUUUUUAAGCUAUUUGAUGUUUGAUGUUGAGCUUAGCUUGAUUUGGUUUUGUUACAAUCUAUAGCUUUAGCUUACAUUAAUCACAACUUUUGUUUUCAAUUUUCAUUUUUUUAAUGUAACCAAAAAAUUAAGUAUGAUUUAGAAGCGAUUUAAACCACUCAAUUUAAACAUAAAUUUUGGUUAUGUUUUAUAGUUAUUUUGUUCUUAGUUUCUAAUCUUUUUUAAAUUUAAGCGUAUUUUCUUUUCGAUUUUUGCAAAGAUUUACAUAUCUUAUAAGUAAAAAAUGUUGAAAUUUAAGCCAAAUUUCAAAUUUUAAAAAUAAGAUUUUAAAACUACCGACUUAUUUGGUUUUUUGGUUUUUUUUUUUUUUAACAACAUAUGCGUUUUGUUACUGUUUUUUAGAAACUAAAUAUAAAAUAAAAAUUGUCAAAAAAAAUAGAAAAGUCCACAAAAUAUUUACGUUUUAUAGAAAAAAAAUCAAGUGUAAUGAAUUUUGUCUUUUAGUGAUUCUUUUUUUAAGGAGGGUAAGUAGUUUGUUUUUUUAAAAAAGAAAAAACAAAAACGAGUUUUUUAAUUGUGUUUUUGUUUUCUAUUUUUCUUUAAAAAAAGACCCAAAUAAGUUUUGAUGAGUACUACAGUAAGUAGAAGUUCGAGAGAUUUGAACGUUGAGUUUGAUAGAGAGUGUAGAUAUCCAUUAAUGUUGAAUUGUGUUCAUUUUGAAAAUUUAUAGAGUCUUGGUUGUUUUUUUUAUGUAUUUAAUUCUUAAUACCGAUAACUCUAAUUAUUUAUGAGUGAGAACAAAACAUGUACAAAGAACUCAUGUUAAUUUAUGGAAAUAAACUUUUAUUUUUAAGAGACAGAUAGAUGUGACCAGAACAUAGGAUAUGCAUGAGAAUGUUAAGAGCAUCAAAUCCCAAAAACGAAUUCGGAAAGUCACUAGAUAACAUGUAUCUAAAAGUUAUUCUCCCUCCAAAUACAUAUAUAUAACAAAUAACUAACACAAUUAGGUUUAAUCUCUAACUCUUUUGCUAUAGUCGCUUGCUUGCACCAAAACAAUAAAUCAAGUUACUUUGUUUUCAACAUGAGAAACCUUAAGGGAGCAAUUAAAUUGACUCAUAAAACCAAAUCUCAUCUAUCAAUAUCUUAAAUAAAUAGGUCAUACAAAAAUUAAUGGCUUCAACACUAUUAUUCAAUCCCACCCUUUCAAAAAAAAAAAAGAUCAAAAGUAUGAUCUCAUCUCAUAUUUGUUACUUAUCUCGCUCAUGCAAAGUUCCAAAAGAGUCUCACGAUAUUACCUCCAAUAAAUCAUAGGAGACUAGACCAAGAUACUAUAAAAGUGCCCAAACGUUGAUAUUUCUUGACACUAGAAGCAAAAUAGACUGCAAAAUGACAGAGAUGUUAGAUCACACACGUUUCUUUCUAUUGAGUUUUAUAUAUAUAUAUUAUAGUACACAAAUUUGGUGAGAGGAUUUGAACUCGAAACUUUUUAGCUAUCUCUUGUUUGACUCUAUUAUUGAAUACCUUCUACCACUACUUAAUUUGCUAUAGAAGCUUCGACUAAACUCUGUUGAUGUAUGAAACGUCGAUCAAAACCCAUCGAGAUGAAAGAAGAAGCUCAAAGACACCAUAUAUAUGAAGCUACAGUAGUCUUCCAAUAUUAUUAACACUAACGAAUCACAUUGGAUUAGCUUUUGACAAAGCACUUUGUGGGCAUAUAAAUUAAAGCUAAGGAGAGAUAACUUUCUUUUCUUUACUUUUCUUUUGAAAUAUAUUAAAAAGUUCAAGCAUUACUCUAAUUAAUUACUCCACCUGUCAUUAAUUAUUACUUUUUUUUUUAUGCUUAUUAGUUUUCUGUAAUUUUUUUGUUCCAAGUUUUGAUUUGUUUUUGUUUGGAUUUGAUUUUAAUUUUGACAAAUAAACGUAUUAGAAAAUGUCUUUUUAAUCUUUUUUGUGAUUUUUUGUUUAAACAUAUGUAAUCAUUUCUUGUUUAAAUAUAUGUAAAAUGUAAAAUGAAAGAAUAAAAUGAAUGGAUUUUAAAAAAAAGUGUGUAAAAUGAAAGUACACAAAAAGAGAAGAUAUCUUUUUGAAUUGAUCAAUGAAUGCAAAGGUAGGGAGAUUGCAAUCAAGAAGAUUAUGUAUAGAAAAAUAUUGGAUGAUAUGUAAAGUAAGAUUGAUGAGAUCUUUGGCAAUACUUUCAACUUUAUAUAAUGUUAUAAUUCAAUUUGGUACUUGCAUGUACUAUUUUAGAAUUUUACCAUAAAGUUCAAAGCAAAUGAAUUAAAAUUACAAAUGCAUUCAGCUGCCUUUCAUUUCUUAAUAAAAAUAAUUGAGUACUAAAUUAUACCAUCAAAUGAGUGUUGGAUACUUUAGGACAUGUCACUCAUACUUUUCAAGUUUCCAUACUUCACAUUUGUAAGAAAAUAAGACGUUAGGUUAAAGUUAAACGUGAAUAGGGGAGAUUAAAGAAAAACUAAUUAUGUAAAAACUUGAGUAGCUUCUAAACGGUUGAGAGUUGUAAUAACACCUUUAGUUAAGUUCUAAAAGUUUUUUAUUUUAAGGUGUCUCGUUAGGUGAGCUAAUAACUAAGAAGGCAGACACGCUUCUACAUCUUUAGCCUACGAAAGUUACAAUUACGUCAACACAACAAAUUUAUAAAAAUAAGAAACUCCUAGAAUUAACUCUUUUGAUUUAAUGGAUCAAUCCAAAAGUAACCUAGAGUUUACUCGUAACGUAUUAAACCAAGCAAACUAAAAAAUUAGUCUAGGAUGAUUUAAGACUAUUUUAGACCUUUUUGAAUCGUGAAAAGCUCAAACGUCAAUUGAUUAGGUUUGAUGAGUCUUUUCUAAGAUAAUUUAGUAUGGGAGUGAGAGCGUUCGACUCGUUUUUCAUGAAAAUUGCCAUCAAAAUUGACCUUAUCGAGAUAGAAAAUUGAAAACCAAGGUUUAAAAAAGCAGACCAUAUUUUAGUUUAAGGUGGUCUGGUUUAAUUCUAUUUUUUUUUCAUAAUUUUUCUAUUUCUUUCAUAUUUUUCUUGGUUUAAGGGGAUUUGAUUCUUUUUCUAUUUUUUAAGAAAAAUACACACUUUAAUAUAUCAAUCGAGAUCAAUUUAUCAGAUCGAUUUUUAACUAACAUUUUACAAAAUCAACCCCUUUCAACUUUCAUAAGAAAUUAAAUCGCCAUCGAACCUUCAUUUCAAUCGGUUUCAAUCUUUGAAGAUUGAAUCGUGAUUGAUCAAAUUUAGAGGGAAGGUAAACAUUUGUUGAAAUUUAUGGAAGAGUUUCGAAAAUUGGUAUGUCCUUAAUUAUGGGCUUAUUUAGUAUGGUAUUAUUUAAAAAAUAAAAGAAAGUUCUAAGUACAACAUCAUAACACAUGAAAUAAUAUUAUUUUAAUAUUUAUGGACAAAAAUAGAGUAGAAGAGAAAGUAAGGAAUAAAAGUAGAAUAGUGAAUUCAUUGUAGACUUUGUAAACAAUCUUCCACCUUUUCAUUUCUAUUUCAUUAUUUCCAUUUCCAUUUUAUCAAUUCUUUUAAUUAAUUUCUUUCGACCAUUUCAAUUUUUUUUCUUUCUAAAAAUAGUUUUCAAAAUGUAACUUCUACCAAUACAUAUAUUUAUUGGAUUUUUUUAAAAAAUAUAAUAAAAUAGGCAAAAUAUUUACACUCUAUUCAACAUUUUCGAAAAUUGAAAAAAGUCUACAGGCUCACACAAUGAAAAAUACAAAAAAAUGCUCUCGUCAAUACGACACUUACGUGAGUAAUAUAUUUGGUACACGAUCUUGGUAUAUGAUCUAUUAGAUUUGGCUACCUAAAUCUAAAUAAUUUUUUUAAAGAUUUUUUGGUACAUAAUUGUUUAGAUUUGACAAUUUUUUGCUAUACGAUCCUUUAGAUUUAUGACGAUUUUUUGAAACGAUUUUUGUUCAAGAUUUUUUUGGUACGAUCAUUUAGACCAAAUUUAAAUAUUUCUUUUAAGAUUCUUUGGUACACAGUCAUUUAGAUUUUGCUACACGAUCGUGUACAAAAUAACAGUUUCAAAAUAAAAAGAAAAAUGGUAAAAAAAAAAAGAGAAAAAGACAAUGGAAGAGAAAGAAAAAUUGUAAAAUAAAGAAGAUGGAAAGAAAUGUCAAACUUGAAAUAUUUUAUAAAAUGGUCGGUUACAUAAGUUUUUGGAUUUUGUUACUAAUACAGUAAUCACAAAAAUUAAUGUUGAUUUUAAUUAAUUACAAAUAUUAACGACAAUUAAAUAAACUAAAAAAAAUAUUGAAGCAAUGGACUUGGUUUACGACCUUGACCUCAACAUUUGACCAAACUUACGUGCGAGCUGAUAUGGUUGGCCACGUAGAUUAUGAUUGGAAUAAAGUGUAUACAACUUCUCUUGAAAUCAAAAUUAUUCUAAUUUUGUCCAUAUUGUGGAGACUUCAACCCUAUUUGUUUAUCCUUUUCGAUCUGUUUUUUUCUUGUCAAUACUUUAGAAAACAACUCUUCUUGAAUUUUUCCUUCUACCUGGUGCUCAUUUACAUUUUUAUAUUUAUUUAGAGAGUUUCGCUUUUCUUCUAAAAAUAUAUACUAUUUGCGAACAGGGAGAUAUAUAAUAGCUUAACAACUUAAUUGGUUUUGAUCCCAUAGGCCUUAUAAUCAUCUACAUAAACUUGGAAUCAAUAGUACCAAAAGUGUUUUUUAUAUCCAAUAUAUGAUCUAUUGAUUUUAUGAAAGUGAUAUAUACAGAAAAAAAAAGAAGAUUCAUUUUAGGAUAAUUAUGAGUGAAUAAUUUUAUGAAAGAGGAUAAGGAUGGAAUCACACACACAUAUCUAUAUAUAUUAGAAAAAUAGUGUUACACUUUUUUGUAGUGUGUUAAAAGAGCAAUAGAGACUCCAUGUCUCUUUAUUUAUUCAUUUCUUCAUCAUUUUUAAUUAAGAGAUGUACUUUAUUUUAAAAUAACAAAACUAUAUAUAUAUAUAUAAUUAAUAAUGAUUUGACUUGAGAAAUUAGAAGUAACUUUUGUUUUUGUUAACAAUUAUAAUUUAAAUAUUAGUCUAUACAUAAUCUUUUAAUGUGCUUCACCCUAUUAGUAAGGAAUAUAUAAAGUUAUAUAUAUAUAUAUAUGACAAAGUUUUGUCCAACAAAUUUUAGGAUUGUGUUUCAUUCUUUAUCUUUUCUUCUUUCAACUUUUAAAGAUAUGUUUUAAUGACUUUUUAGGGUUUGUUUAAUAAUGUUAUAUAACUUAACAAAUACAUUUGUUUAAUAACUAUAUUUGUUUUUUUUUUUUUUUAAUUUUUAAAAACCUUAGUUAAAUCUAUGAAUCAAGAUUGUAUUUUGUAUAAUAAAUUCUCUUGAUCUUUGGGGUUAUAGUGUAAGUGUUAAAGAUUAGAGUUAAACAUAUUUCUUUUAGAGAUAUAAUGGUGCAUAUGGUUACUUGACCAAAGACUUCACCUAUAUUCCUCUUCAAAUUUAACCUCACAAUCAUGGUCGUCCUUUAAAAUUUAAUAUUGUAUUAUAUGGUUAUGCAAAUUGUACAACAAUUGCAGAAAAGUACUUUAACUUUGCCGUUAUCUCUAAGUGAUAGAUACGCUCUAACUCAAGACCCUUUAGGUCUUGUUUUUAAUUCGUAUUUCGUUAUAUUCAAAGUUAAGUACUCGUGUGACUUAAGAAUUAUUCUUUACUUUAAAUUUUAAAUUUCAUAUUUCAUAUAGAGCUUAUGUUUAGAGUUUAGGGUUACACACAAUCAUCAUUUAUCCAAAAUAAAAAGUAACAAUGAAAAAGCAUUGCACAUAAAAAAAUGAUCCAUUUUAAUUCAAUAGAUUGAUUAGAGAUAUGGAACUUUGCAUAUGGGAUAUCUAUUAUUGUUAUUUGAGUGGAAAAUCAAAGUGGGUUUCAAAAUACAUAGUGGCAAAAAUAUUUUAUUUAUUCAAUGUAUAAAGAUGGUUUGAUAAAGGAUGAAAAGCUAUGAUCAUUUUUUCACAACCACUCAUAUUCCCAAUAUAUAUAUACAUAGCAUAUAGCACAUGUGAUCAUAUAUAAAAGAUGAUUAUUCUGUUAAAUCAAAUGUUAUGUGUAUCUAAACAUUUCCCUGCUCUCAUUGACUUUCUUGUUGAAUUUUGAAUGUCUCUUUUGAGUUUAUCAACUUCCUUUUUGCUUUUUUGAAAAUUACACUUCUUUCAUAUUACUUUAUAUAUUUGGAAGAAAUAAUAAAAACAACGUACAUCAUUGAAACCAAACAUAACAAGUUUAGGGUUUGUAUAAUAAGUUUAGACUUACGUUUGGAAGUCAUAGGUUUUUCUAUUUAUUUAUUUCAAGGUUAACACGAGACUUCAUAUUUUCCCUUUAAAUUAGACUAAAAGAGGUUGAAAUAUGGAACCAAAACGUUCUUUAACUUUCUUGGUUGGAAGCACACUCCAUACCAAAUCUCCACGCAUGUCAAGGAGUGAAUUGGGGUGCAUCAUUCUUGGCUAAAAGGUGUGUGUCAAGUUAGCUAGGGCAUUUGGCUCGUAUAGGGUCUAAUGAGGACAUUUGGUUAGCUCAUUUUGACUUUUAUAGAGCUCAUGGAAUUAUAUCUUUGAGGACAAAAACCAAAUAAGUUGCCUCUUCAUGAACUUGGCCUACCUAAUCGAAGUAACCAAUAGUUCUUAGCUUGAACCUUUGGAUCAUGGAGUAACUUUAUCAAAGACUCAAUAUAACUUGCGUCACAUCGACUCGGUUAAUCUCAUAUUGGUGUCUAUUUGAUUUUAGGUUCACAUCGUUUGAUUUUUUUUUUUUAGCUUUUAACGUAUGUUGUUGGGAUAAUGGAUGGAUGGCUAAAAUUGGAAAGGGAUUUUGAAAGUGGUUUAAUUGUAUAUACCCUUACAAAAAUAGUUGAAAGAAUAAAUAUUAGUUUAAUUAUUAAGUAUUUGAAUGGACAAAUAUAGUGCUUGAAACAAUCUAAAUCAAUCAAAUCAAAUCUAUUUAAACCUAAUAAAUUUAAAAUGUUUAACCUACUCAAUUAACCCUUCCAUGAGUUGAUAUUCACCCUAUAUCAAUAUCAAAUAACCCUAAAAAAUUAUGAAAAUAUCAACAUGUUAGAAUGAAAAUGGGAAAUUUCAUAUGCUUUAUAAAGGAUGAUGAACUCUAUAAUUAAUAAUUAUGAUAAGAUAAGUUAUUAAUAACAUGUUCUGACCGUUAUGAACUCAACAAUUAAGUAAUAAAGAAAAGCGUAAAAAUUGACAAACAAAUAUACGUGAUUUUCUAACGGUGUGUUAACUACAUGCAUAGGUAGAUAAAGAACAAAUAUUAUUAGAAGGAAUGUUUAUAAUACAAAACGACGUCACUAAGUUAGAGAGUUUAUAUAUUGCAUUUCUCUAAACCCUAAGAUCAAAAUCGUCUAACUAUAUAAACAACACAAUUAAGAAAAUCUAAAGAGCGAGACCCUUAUUUGUAGCGCCACAUAACGAAUUCGAGCCAUUCCAACAGACUCAAGCAUCGCGAAUAUAUCAACUACACUGGACGAGCUCACAAGCACAAUGACAUGCUACAAAUUAUAAAAACUUCAAAAUUAAACGUGUUUCGUCUAAAAGAGAACGUAAACUUAUACAUUUACGAUAUUAGUGAUAUUAGUGAGGGCAUCACCAAUUUAGAAUUUAAAUUAAUGCGAGGUUGAAUUUUCCUUUGUUUUUAUAACAGACUUAUUAUGACGGUUAAUCCAUUGAAUGGGCUUAAAUCUAAACAAAACUAUGUCAGCACUCGCAAAAUUCCGUUUGAUUUGGGAAAGAAAAUGCCUCCGGCGAAGAAGGGGAAAACUAAGGCGCCGAAAGCUACUGAAUCCAUUCAAUCCUCCGUCAAAUCCAACAAUUACCCAUCUUGUCUUCGCUCUGUUUCUCCUUCUUCCGUCGCCAUUACCAUCCACGCAAAGCCUGGCUCCAAGAUCGCCUCUAUCACAGGUUUUCUCCCUCUCUCUCUCUCUCGCGCGUGCUAUAUCUUUUCAGUUUAUGAGAUUUAAGUUGCAUGUUUCUGGAAAUCGUUGCAGACUUUGGCGAUGAUGCACUGGGAGUACAAAUCGACGCACCGGCCAAAGAUGGAGAAGCUAAUGCUGCACUUCUUGAUUACAUGAGCUCUGUGAGUUACCCAUUCAUUCUUUGCUGCUCUUUAUUUGAUUUCUCAAAGCUACUUGAAUUUUCAUUGUCAAUUUUACCACUUUCCCUAAUUUUGAAAUUGAUUGUUUUUGUUAUUUGGGACUUUUGGUGAAGAUCCUGUUCUUAGUUUGUUGAAAAUUGUGUGUUUGAUCACCCAUUUGCAUUUGAGGGCCGUUAUUGCUGUUGUUUUUUUUAUGCAUAACAGAAACAACAUUCUUCAAUUUGAUGAAAUGAAGAGACUGCUGCUGACUAUGUAAAUUCAAAAUAUUAGAGAGCGGCAAGUGCACCCAGCUAUGUCAACUUGGUUAACACACCGAUAGUACCCACAUCACACCCCAAUAAAGUACAGCAAUUAAAUUAGAGUACUAUAUACCACGAUGACAUUGUUACAUUGCACGAAUGAAUGUAUUCCAAUUAAGACAAAUAUCUUGAACUGAAUAAUAUGAAAAUAGUUUGGAAAGACAGCAGCAAGAGGAAGCUUAAAACGGUCAAACCACUAAAGUGACUUGUCAGAUGUGAAUAACGAUGUGUAGCAAUCUGUUAUCCCCGUUGCUUCGUAGGAUGUGUAGUAUUUUCGAUAUUGGGUCGUUUGAAGCUUAACACAUUUUCAUAGUAGCUAUAAGAUUCCUCAAAUUCAAAGCACUUCUUUUAGGAUUAAACUCUAAAUAGCUCUUAUAUUAGAGCUCUCAGGUAUGCUUUCUUCAUGUUGCCUUGAGCUCUUUUCUCUCUUCUCCUCUUUCCUCAUGAAGCUUGGUACUCCAAAUGAUGAAAUGAAAAUGAAGAUCUCCUUUGCAUGAAUCAUAUGAAUGCUGCUUCCUUAACUCUCCUUAUAUUUGUUACAGGUUUUAGGUGUCAAAAGAAGACAAGUGUCUAUAGGUUCUGGCUCCAAAUCAAGAGGCAAGGUUGUGAUCGUGGAGGAUGUAAGCUUGCAAAGUGUUUUUGAUGCUUUGAAUAAAGCUUUAACAUGUGAGUGAUUCUAUGGGCUCUUUGGAAGUUCACACCCUUUAACAGAAUAUCAGCAAUACUGUAAUAAGUAUAUAGGUGGAUUACCUACUACCUUGCUGCCAGAACAUUCAAAGUUAUACAGCUAGAUGUAACUCUUAUAUGUUUUUAUUUAUCUCAAACCUCAACAAUAGUUUACGUGCUGUAUAUUUGUAGAGUUUCAACUUUAUGGUAGUGAGCUGAAAUCUCCUAGCCUGACUGCAAGUGAUUAAUCUUGUUCAAUUGGUUGAUUCUUUACCAUUUAAAAUUUUCAAUUUUAGUUAACUCGAGCAUGACUCAUCUGGUUUAGACAUACUGUUAGGAUACUAACAAUAAUUUAGACCGAAAGGACUGUAUAAAUGGCUUAAACAGAGGCGGUACUCUGGUUUACUUUAUUUAUAUAUAAAGCCAAAUGAUCCAGAUUCACAAGAUGAAAAGAAAUAACAAGAAACAACAAGGAAAAAUGCAGAAAAGAUCAUACCAGCCUCUUGGUUUUAAGAGACCCUGGUGGCUGCUGUAGCCCUACCUCCUAAAAGAUAAAAAUACCCUAGCUACUCCAACCUAAUAAUCCUAUUUAUAGACUCACAUAUUCCUCAGCCCAGUGGGCCCUACCACUCAGAACGUCCUUCCAAUCAUUUCUCCAUAAUAAUUCCCUGUGCAGUUACUUUUCUACCCUUCCUCCUAUAAGUAUGGAUAAUUGGGGGUCUUACACAUACAUCUUCAACCAAAAUGUUACAUGUUCGAAUUCUCACCCCUAACUGUUCCUAACACUCUUUUCCCCGUCAAGAAAGCCAAGAGAGAAAAGUUAUGCAGAAUGUCUAUAAAUUAAACAAAUACAAUUGCUAGAGUUUGAUUCUUGAGCAAUAGGUCCUUGAAGACCAUAUUACAUUACUGCCCCCUUCAUCCAUGAAAGAAUGAGCUAAAAUGUUGGGAAUGGUAGGAGUUUAUCAUUCUGGAAAGAUGUUUGGAUUGCCUCAUAUAUUUGAUCUCUUUCUCUUUCUAAUGAUGGGACCAUAACAGACUUGUGGAAUAUGGAGAAUGCUUGCUGGAACUUAAGCUUAGAAGAAAUCUGAUGGACUGCCAUUCCUUGAGGUACCCGCGCCAUCCCAAAAGCCUGACAAAUGUAAACAAAAGUAAUCUUUUCUACAAACUCUCUCCUUAAAGAUCUUCAACAAGAAAACACUGAAUCCUCCCCCACAGCUUUAUGAACAGAUAUAGAAGUAAAUGGUCAAAUUUGUUGUAUGAGAGUUAUCUCAUAAAGCUAUUAACACAAAUGAAAACUCCAAAUAAGCCUACCCACUGGAAUUUUUCUCCUCAAAGGUGCAGUAUUUGUUAGAAUAGCUUGGAAUCGAAAAGUUCAUCUUCUCUGUACAUGUGUGUUUGCUAGACUCUUUUGGAAUCUCAUAGAGGCUGCCUUUCGUUGGCACAUGGCUCUUCUAGGUGACACUAAGAUGGUCCUAGCAUAUACUUUGGGUGGUAACUGGUAAUCCUUUAAAAAGGAAAAGAAGCUCUUAUGGUGGAACAAUUCGUGAGAGCCCUUCUACUUUACUAUUUGGCUUGAACAGUACAGAAGAACUGUCCGAGAAAAGGAGCUUGCCUAUCACCAUAAUUUUUUUUGGUGAAGGACUAUCUGCAGAAUUCUUUAGCAUUAUGUUCUGGAUAGUUUCUAUGGCUCUAACGUGACAGGAUUAUGCUUCAGGAGUUAUGUACGGGGCUGCAAAGAGUUUUCUUAACCUAUGCUAUUGCUAAACUUAACUCAAUUGAUCAAGAUAUUAUGACCUCAACCAAAAGGUUAUAGGUUCAAAUUUCCACUCCCACAUAUUAUUGAACUAUAACGAGUUUUGUUUCCAUUAUUGCAUUUCAGUUUUCAGUCACCAGAAUCAGUAUGAGUUGUGAAAUAUUUGUUUAGCAGUCUUGUAGAUUGGUAGAUUGAAUUCUAUGACAGUACACGUUUGAACUUGCAAGAACAAAUUUCUUUCUUCUGUAUUUUGAGUAAGAAACAAAGGCAACUAUGGAUGGAUGCUUUAAGCUAUGACCUUUGCACUUUGACUUACUAGACCUUAAAAGCAUAGGGAUCAGAAAGAUUAAUUUCUAAACCAAAUAAUAGAAAAGAAGAUAACAUACAUCUUAAAGAGAAGAUAGCAUACAUCUUAAAGGAGCCCAAGUGUGAGCAUAUACCUUAACUGAUCGACAUCAAAAUUGUGUCGUUAGUGAUCCAAAAAAGUAUGGUUUGAAUCUCUUUAUUUUGCGUUGUACCAAAAAAUAUAUCUUAAAAGGGAACUCUACAAAAAUUUAUAAUAAAAGAGAAACUUCUCUCUCUCCUUUCAUUUUCUUUUGGUUAUCGAAUGAUUUUGGUAUACACUCGGUGAAAACUUUCUAUCAAAAAAUGAUAAUUUUUUUUAGAAAUUAGCUAUGUCAGUUUUGUUCAAAAAUUUUAAUUAUAUGUUUAUGAUUUAGAUGACAAUGUCAUUUUCAACUAAGAAUUAAAGUAUUGUGAUAUUUUGUCAAAAUCAAAAUAUUUACAACAUCGAGUAAUUGAUUAGAAAUUUUAGAAGGUAACCUUGUUUUUUAAUCUCGAAAAUUCACGAUCUAUAUUGUCGAAGUCAUUGAUUUAUCCAUGACAUAGUGUUUUAUGAAUAUAUCUCUAGCAAUUUUGAGAAAUUGUCGACCAUAUAAAAAUUUCAUGCCUUACCUUCGACCUAGUUGGCUUUACAACUCAGGACUUGAUAUCAAUAUUGUAACUUUUGAUCAUUAUGAAUAUUCCGAAUCAGAUGCUCCAAGGUCAUAUUUUUUUGUGUUAGACAAUACAUAUCUUAUAAUAAACAAUUUACUAUAUUGUACUUUAUAAAGACAAUGUAAUAUUGAUCGACAUUUACAAUAUACUUUGAAAUGAUAUGAUGGUUAAAGAUGAUCAAUUAUGAUAUGUUUUCAUGGAACAUUGCUAUAUUCGACAUACACGACAUUUAUCUCGAGAAAGUAAUGAAUUUUUGAACUGUCCACCUAAUGAAUUAAAAGGGUGAAUUAUGUUUUGAUAGGGACCCUAUGAAGCCAACAACUUCACAUGGUUUAUCAAAGAAAGAAAAGGUAUGACAUUGACUAAAUAUAUUAACUUGAUGGAAAAAUACAAACAACUUUCACUUUCUCAUAUUUGACUGCCAACCAAUUGCUAAUUGGCAAACUUUACUUUUCCCAACAAUAUAAAUCAAAUCCAAUGAACAAAUUGCUCAAAGUUAUCAUUUCCUUUGCUUUUUUAUGUUUCUAAAAACAACACUUUAUAAAAAGUGGAAUUUCAUGCAUGUGAAAGGAUGAAUUACCAAUUUGAAUUUUAUCAUCAUCCCACCACAAUUAAUUAAUAGAGUACUUUACAUAUAAUAAUCAAAUGAAUGAAUAAUGUGUGGUUCAUAUAUACUGACUAUUUCUUUGUGUAUAUUUGUGAUGAUUUAGACCCGCUUAUAUAUAUAUAUAUAUCUCCAUUAAUUUUAUCUAAUUCUACUUUUAUUUAACCAAUUUCUAUUAGAAUUACGACAUUCAAUUGAAAAUAAAUUAUACAUUUUUUUAGACAUAGCAACGAUAGUAAUUAAUUAAGUUUCACUACUUUCUACUAUUAUUAAAAUUGAAUUUAAAAGUGGCUUUUAAAAAAAUAUCAAAAUAUUGACCUUAUUUAUAAUAUGUAGCAAACUUUAUUUAAGUUUUUUCCUUCUUUUUUUUUUUUGCUAUAAUUUUGUAAAUAGUUUCAUUAUUUUUUAUCCACAACCAUUUUUUUUUAAAUUUCGGUUCAUGGUUAUUUUAAAUUGGUUUUCAUAGAUAUUAAAUGCAAAAAUUGAAUUAUUAUUUUUUUUGAAAAAAUUCAUUUUUAUUUAAAUUUCUUUGAUAGAAACGGGUGAAAUACACUUACAAGAAGUGCUUCAAAAGCUAUUCUGGAUAGUUUCUAUGGUUCACAAAAAAUUGUCUGACCAUAAAAUAUAAUAUACACUCAGGUAAUAGACACGUAUAUACAUUCAUUUUCUUGAGGUUAAGAGGUUCCUACUAAAAGAUUCUUUUAAGAAAUGAAUCGAUAACAAAACUCCAAAAUGAAUUAUGACUUAUAACAAUGAUGUCCCAAUAUGUCAUUAAAUUUUAAAUUUUGUAUUUAAAGUCAGAUAGAUCUCUAAUAUUCAAUUUAUAUCCAAUAGCUUCUUGUUAUAUUCAUUUUUUAAAAACUAAUCUAGUAGAUAUACACUAAAAAAUGUAAUGUUUAAUGAAGACCUUAAACAUUGACUACCUAAUAUGUUUUGUGAAUUAAUUUAAUCAUCAACAGUAUGUACUCAACGACCAUAUAACCCAAAGUUAAAAACUAUAUAUUAUAAACACAAAAUUCAAGACUAAAUAUACAAAAACUAAAAUGUUUAUCAUAAACAUUAUCUCAAUUCUUCAUAAACUUCUGGUGAAUUACCUGAUAUGAGCAAUUGAAAAAUGAUAGAGAACUACAUGUGUGUGUGUGUGUGUGUCUAUAUAUAUAUAUAUAUAUAUAGAGAGAGAGAGAGAGAGAGAGAGAGAGAGAGGAGAGUAAAAAUGAGUGACAAUAAUAUGUUGAUAGAAGUAAACAAAAAAAGGAAAUGUAAAGGUACAUACCACAUAUAAAAAAGGAGCUAAAUUAGUUGAACAAAGGAGAAUUCUUGUGUCUUUAAUUCUCACUAUGUAUAUAUACAAAUGGGUAUGUAUAUAUAUGUGUGUGAUGAUGAUUUCAUCUCUCUCCACCAUUGAAAAGAUAUAAUAAUAUUGAGAUGAUGAUGAUUAAGGAGAGGAUGGCCAAGUCUGGAAGCCAAUAUCAUUGUGUUUUCUUGAAGGGGUUGAAGAAGGAAUUGGAAUAGUUCUCUUGGGGAAGAAGCCAUAGAAAUGGGGUUUUGUUGUUGGGUUGUUGUUGUUAUAAUUCUUGGAGAAAUAAGAAGAAGAAAGAGAAGAAGGUGAUGAUGCUGUUGAGGCAUUGCAAUAAUAAAUAAUGAAGAAGAGAAAUAGAAGAAGAAGAAGAAGAGAUAUCAUAAUGAGAUGUGAAGGCCUUUUUCGAAACUCAACCAUUUUUGUUUUGUUGAUAGGUGAGAGCUGAGUUAUUUGAGGAGAGAAGCUUUGUUGGUUUGUUUCUUUUGUUUUUGUGGUUUAGGAGGUUUGGAGGAAGAGAGAGUUUUGAAGCAAAACCUAAACUAAUAUACAAAAGAGAGAGAGAGAGAAGAGUUGACAAUAUGUGUUUGGGUUAAAGGGAAGGGAGGCUAAUAAUUAAAGGGAUUUUUCACUCGGGAAAACGAACAAAAUG
rnacentral:lncRNA from 1 species